CAGUCGCAGGUAAUACGUAGGGUGCAAGCGUUAAUCGGAAUUACUGGGCGUAAAGCGUGCGCAGGCGGUUAUAUAAGACAGAUGUGAAAUCCCCGGGCUCAACCUGGGAACUGCAUUUGUGACUGUAUAGCUAGAGUACGGCAGAGGGGGAUGGAAUUCCGCGUGUAGCAGUGAAAUGCGUAGAUAUGCGGAGGAACACCGAUGGCGAAGGCAAUCCCCUGGGCCUGUACUGACGCUCAUGCACGAAAGCGUGGGGAGCAAACAGGAUUAGAUACCCCUGUAGUCCCUGUCUCUUAUACAC
rnacentral:rRNA from 1 species